GAUGAACGCUGGCGGCGUGCCUAAUACAUGCAAGUCGAGCGAACGGACGAGAAGCUUGCUUUUCUGAUGUUAGCGGCGGACGGGUGAGUACACGUGGAUAACCUACCUAUAAGACUGGGAUAACUUCGGGAAACCGGAGCUAAUACCGGAUAAUAUUUUGAACCGCAUGGUUCAAAAGUGAAAGACGGUCUUGCUGUCACUUAUAGAUGGAUCCGCGCUGCAUUAGCUAGUUGGUAAGGUAACGGCUUACCAAGGCAACGAUGCAUAGCCGACCUGAGAGGGUGAUCGGCCACACUGGAACUGAGACACGGUCCAGACUCCUACGGGAGGCAGCAGUAGGGAAUCUUCCGCAAUGGGCGAAAGCCUGACGGAGCAACGCCGCGUGAGUGAUGAAGGUCCUCGGAUCGUAAAACUCUGUUAUUAGGGAAGAACAUAUGUGUAAGUAACUGUGCACAUCUUGACGGUACCUAAUCAGAAAGCCACGGCUAACUACGUG
rnacentral:rRNA from 1 species